GACGAACCGUGCGAACGUUAUUCGGAAUCACUGGGCUUAAAGGGCGCGUAGGCGGGCCUGCAAGUCAGGGGUGAAAUCCCACGGCCCAACCGUGGAAGUGCCUCUGAUACUGCCGGCCUCGAGGGAGGUAGGGGCGUGCGGAACUCAGGGUGGAGCGGUGAAAUGCGUAGAUAUCCUGAGGAACACCGGUGGCGAAAGCGGCGCGCUGGACCUCUUCUGACGCUGAGGCGCGAAAGCCAGGGGAGCAAACAGG
rnacentral:rRNA from 1 species